rnacentral:rRNA from 1 species
ACGCUCGACACCUACGGGAGCAGCAGUAGGGAAUCUUCCACAAUGGACGCAAGUCUGAUGGAGCAACGCCGCGUGAGUGAAGAAGGUUUUCGGAUCGUAAAGCUCUGUUGUUGGUGAAGAAGGAUAGAGGUAGUAACUGGCCUUUAUUUGACGGUAAUCAACCAGAAAGUCACGGCUAACUACGUGCCNGCAGCCGCGGUAAUCUGAGCGGGCUGGCAAGGC